GACGAACGCUGGCGGCGUGCUUAACACAUGCAAGUCGAACGAAGUGGCGAACGGGUGAGUAACGCGUAAUCAACCUGCCCUUCAGAGGGGGACAACAGUUGGAAACGAAUGCUAAUCCCGCAUCUUGAAGGAGGGGAUUGCGUCGGAUUAGCUAGCUGGAGGGGUAACGGCCCACCAAGGCGAUGAUCAGGAGCCGGGCUGAGAGGAAGGACGGCCACAAUUGGACUGGGACACGGCUCAGACUCCUACGGGAGGCAGCAGUGGGGGAUCUUCCGCAAUGGACGGAAGUCUGACGGAGCAAAGCCGCGUGAGUGAUGACGGCCUUCGGGUUGGAAAGCUCUGUUAAUCGGGGCGCGGUACCGGAAUAGAAAGCCACGGCUAACUACGUGCCAGCAGCCGCGGUAAUUC
rnacentral:rRNA from 1 species